GUUGAGAUAUAAACGCCAGGAUUCCCCUCUUGGUCUCAUACAUCGUUUUCAAGUCAAAGGAACAUCUCAGAGGCGCCCGUUGCCAACUUUAGCCGACGACAUCGCACCUACCCAAAUCUUCUAUUUACUCGAAACGCCUUCAAAAUCUGUCAAGAUGAACAAGGUCUUCCUCAUCUUCCUUUUGAUCUCGGCCCUUGUCAUGCAGGAAACUUUUGCUGUUCACAGUGGUGGAAACCGCGGCGGCAGUAGUGGCCGAAGUGGCGGCAGAGGUGGCAAAGGGGGUCGGGGCGGCCGCGGCGGCCCCGGCGGUCGAGGCGGCGGUGGAGGCUUCGGAGGAAGGGGUCCCGUCAGCAAGCGGAGUGUGGACGCCCAGAGAGUGGCUCUUGGAGACCUCAUCAAGCAUUUGGAACAACGGAGCUAAAGGGAAUGGUUGGAUGAAUAAACAGUGUUUGAUAGCCCUGGCGUCAAGCAGAAUACAUAAAACAAUAUGAGACUCAGUUUCUUUGAUGUUAACGUCAUUUUUAUAUUCGGACUGUGAAAACACGCACCGCAAGGAGUCCCCUUUGCUGAUGAACUUGGAGUUGGACGUUUCAGCCUUUAUAGUAUAUGAGCGGUCUGUGAUAUUGCAUUUUCUCCUCAAUAUUUACGUUUGUAGUUGCUUUAAAUGUCGUCCAUUUGCUGUAAAAUCUUGUCUUUCGAGCAUGUAUCUAAAAUGCUCCAUAUUCCCACUCUUUCUAAAACCAACGAUCUCAACUAAGAUAGACUGGUGUCUGAUGGUCCUCGUCGACAUUUGUUGUAUCGCAUAUACAUGUUUAGGACGGGUAACCAGUCAUAUCUCAACACUGCCAUGAAGAAGGGAGGGAUUAUAUUGGAAGAAUUACUGUCUCAUUCCGCAUACGAAGAUAAAUGUAAGGCGAGAAUUUCUCAACUUCUGAUAUUUGCAAUUAAAUACAGUAGAAAUUUAAA